CACCCAUUUGGCCAGUAGCGGACCUGAUUCUGCCUUAACAUUACACUUGUCACAAACGGAUGGAAAAAUUCUGGAAACAGACGUCUCAAACAGGUUUGAUGAAGUUUGACAUCCUGUAUCAGGACACAAUAUCUGUUCACGGGUUACUCAUGCUUGAGGCCUGUAACAGAAAUUUGGAGGCACCGCUGGGAUCGGCAUCUGACGAGAGUUGGUGCUGAUCUUUUAACCAACAAACCAGGCAGACGUCGCAGGACCAGUACAGUGGAGUGGCAGGCGUGCAACUGGGGCGGCCACGAGGCGAAGAGGAGGAUUGAGCCAUUGACAUGCAGUUACUGUGUGUGUAUGGGUAGCAAAAUGCCUCCAGCACCAGAAGAUUUGCCAUUACAUUCAAGAAACCACCUUCCUCCUACAAUUUCAUCUGGAA
ensembl:lncRNA